UGGGGAAUCUUCGGCAAUGGGCGCAAGCCUGACCGAGCCAUGCCGCGUGAGCGAUGAAGGCCUUAGGGUUGUAAAGCUCUUUCGCCAGGGAUGAUAAUGACAGUACCUGGUAAAGAAACCCCGGCUAACUCCGUGCCAGCAGCCGCGGUAAUACGGAGGGGGUUAGCGUUGUUCGGAAUUACUGGGCGUAAAGCGCGCGUAGGCGGAUUGGAAAGUUGGGGGUGAAAUCCCGGGGCUCAACCUCGGAACUGCCUCCAAAACUCCCAGUCUUGAGUUCGAGAGAGGUGAGUGGAACUCCGAGUGUAGAGGUGAAAUUCGUAGAUAUUCGGAAGAACACCAGUGGCGAAGGCGGCUCACUGGCUCGAUACUGACGCUGAGGUGCGAAAGUGUGGGGAGCAAACA
rnacentral:rRNA from 2 species